rnacentral:antisense_RNA from 1 species
CUUCAGGGCUCCGAGACGCAGGGGCCGGGCCGCAGGUCGGCCCUGGCCGUAGGUCGCCAUGAGCGCCUCGGCCUC